GACGAACGCUGGCGGCGUGCUUAACACAUGCAAGUCGAGCGAACAGGCGCUGCGUUUGUUGGGUUCUCGAGUGGCGAACAGGUGAGUAACACAUGAGUAACCUGCCCUUGACUUUGUGAUAACUUCAGGAAACUGCGGCUAAUACCGGGUAUGAGCUCCUGCUGCAUAUGGGUGGUUGGAAAGAUUCGGCGGUUGUGGCUGGUCUGGAUGGUUAUCAGCUUCUUUGUGUGGUAGUUGCUUACCACGGUUUUGACGGGUAGCCGGCCUGAGAGGGUGACCGGCCACCAUGGGACUGAGAUACGGACCAGACGCCUACGGGACGCAGCAGUGGGGAAUAUUGCACAAUGGGCGGAAGCCUGAUGUAGAAACGCCGCGUGCGGGAUGCCGGCCUUCGGGGUGUAAACAGAUUUCGACUGUGACGAAGAGUGAGUGACGGUAAUGGGUAAAGAAGCCACGGCUAACUACGUG
rnacentral:rRNA from 1 species